CACAAGACCACAGUUAUUUGCCCUUGGUUGACCACAAUACGGAAGUGGUUACGCGGAAAAUAGUUCCUCUGUUUGAUGGUGAAUAUUGGUGAAUUUUUGAGUGAAAGACCUGCAAUAAAUGGCAUGAUUUAAUAGAGGAGAUAUGAAAUAGUAGGUACAUGUACAAUUUGACAGAAUGAAAAUGUCAGAAUAUGCAUAACAUGACUUUUUGAUAGGGCCUGUUUUGCCUGUUUGCGGCCAUCUAGAGAGUAUUCUUCAUACGCAUGUGAUUUGGUUCAAAAUGGUGGAAAAAAGAGCCGGUCAACCCAAUGUUUACUGUGGCUGGAAUUUUUUCUCUUGGAUAGUUCUGUUGAGUUCAGGUAUUUUUAUAGGGGUUGGAAUGCAUGCAAAAUUGCUAUAGUGUCCAGUGCCUAUAUAGAACAUAUAGUAAAAAUAACUGUGGUCUUAGGCCUGAUAUAGUGGAAAAUGUCAGAAAGUAAAUUGUCAAUAUUUUUGUUAUUUUUCAAUCUACAUGGCUGAAAUUUUGACAGUGAAUGGCUGGUAGGCAUAGAAAUCUGUACCUAAAAACCUGAAAUGAGAGCGCUCGGACAAUGUGAAGUUUGUCGCAUAGACGGGGAUUGACCGCCUUUGUACAUAUAUGUCUACAGCUUCUCAGAUUUGACCGAAGACAGUUGUUCGGUGUUGUGAAUGGAUGUUGUUCGGCCGAAGGCCUUCCAGUCACACAGAAGAUCCUGGUUCGGUCACACGAAGGGUCACUUCCAUUGGUAUUAGUCACAGGAAAAAUUAGGAGCACCAGUUGUAGUUUCUCAGGGCCUGUUUUGCCUGUUUGCGGCCAUCUAGAGAGUAUUCUUCAUACGCAUGUGAUUUGGUUCAAAAUGGUGGAAAAAAGAGCCGGUCAACCCAAUGUUUACUGUGGCUGGAAUUUUUUCUCUUGGAUAGUUCUGUUGAGUUCAGGUAUUUUUAUAGGGGUUGGAAUGCAUGCAAAAUUGCUAUAGUGUCCAGUGCCUAUAUAGAACAUAUAGUAAAAAUAACUGUGGUCUUAGGCCU